rnacentral:snoRNA from 1 species
UAGCCCAGGAUCCACUCUGUUUUUUUACUAGAGAAGUUUCUCUGAACGUGUAGAGCUCUGGAAACCGCGAGGAGAAGGUACCUCCUUCACUUCUGAGCAUGAAGCUCUCUCUUAGUGUUACUUGGCUGCCACUGUCAUCCUCCAUUGAUGAUCAUUCUUCCCUUCCUUUAGGGGAAAAAGAGGGGGGAAGAUGACUUUGAGUGGU